CAGGAACAUCUUUAGUGAGGCUCAAGCAAUGGUACCUGAUACAUUAUCCCAAAGGUGCAUCAGUACCUAUCAAAACCAAGAAAAUGAAUAUCCUGCAUCACACUUGAUGCACACAAUCUCACAAUUCAAUCAUAAUCAUCUUAAGUAUCUUUUCAAGUACAAGCAAUGAAUAAGAUGAAUGAAAAGGAUUGAAAAGAGUUUUAAAAGUCUAAGGGAACUUCCCUUGUGUUUUUGUGAGUUUCCUAACUCUCUCAAUGCACCAUCUUCAUGUCAUCAUCAACUUCUUGGAAAGGCAGAAUGGAUUGAUCAGCUUCUCCUCAAUCACCUCUCAUUGAAGCCGCAUUGAUGGAGAGCCUUCUUCCUCACUUGCCAAGGCUGCUCUGAACAGCCUCUUGCCUAGACACGCCAAUGACUUGGCCCGGUUGAUGAUCCUUGUAGAAGCUUUUGCAAAAGACUUGUUACUGACCAUGGAUCAUAUGCAUUAAGACUCCCCCUCAAGCUUAGAACCAAGACUAGAAGGAGCUAAGCUUGUGAUGAUUCUAUGCGUCUCCAUGGUCUAAUAACUAUCAUCUUUCAUGAUAGCUUUCUUCUUGUGAGUUUACUCUCUUCCUUAACCAGGAACUAGGGUGUUUGAAUCACCAUAGAGAGUCUCACAUGUCACACCUCUCAUUGCAUAAUGACCCAUGCUACACUUCCUGUAGACUAAGGACUAGAUAUGUCCAAUGGUAUUAUGCAAUGGCCAUCUCUCAUUGCAUACUCAAUCACACUACACUUCCUGUAGGUUAUGGACUAACAUGUCCUCAUGAUGAUAUGCAAUGGCACAAGACCCUUGUCUUUACAUUCUUGGUUGUUGGCGAGUUACAUGUAUCACAUUUCCUUGUGUACCUAACACCACCACAACUCAAUGCAAGAUCAGAUCAUCCCAUUGGGAUCAAACCAAGAUUAUCCAUCCUGUUUGAUCACCAAUGCCACAAUAAUAUGAUACUUGAAACAAGCUAGACAAUCAAGACAAUCAAGCAAAGACAAUCAAUUCAGUUUUUUUUAAAUGCAACAAUAGAUGAAUGCAUUAGGUUACAUACUAAAUAUAUGAAUGAAAUAGAUUCAACCCAAAUGAAACACAAGCCUAGAUGAUACUUAUGCAAUCAAGGCGACAAGAGUGACUCAAUUCAUGCUUAUGCUCACUAGUUUUAUCAAAGUCAAUGAUUCAAAUAGCUUAGACAUACUUCUAAAUGCUUAUAAGACAUCACUGAUUGAUUUAACUAUGGCAUAGCAACAAUCAGAACUGGACUGAGUCAAAACAAGCAGAUUUCAAUCUCUAACAAUGACAAUGCAAGUUCUAUUUUUAAGUUCUCUAAAUGCAAUGCAAGCUUACAUCAGUACAUUUGCAGUUUAGGCUCAUUUCUAAAUGCAAUAAUACAUGAAUGCACAAUCUUAAAAGCUUUAGCUAUAUGAAUGCAACAGGUUCAAUCCAUGAGCCAUAUCAAGACUAUGCACAACAGUUUCAAUCAAAACCAAUGAUGCAAGCACCUUAGACAAUUUCUAAUUGAUGCAAGACUUUCAUCAAUGGAUUAAACAUAGGCACUAGUAUCAUAUAACAACAGGAUUGAACUUAGACAGUAUGAGACGUGCUUAUGUAUGCAAAAUAGCUUAUCAAUCAUGAUGCAAGCAGCAGAGACAUUCUACUCAAUUCUACAAUACAUUCAUGAUGAUUUCAAGCUAUGGCAAUACACAAGACAAUGCAAUGAACAGAACAUGAGAUUUUGGGACUCUAGACAUUAUUACUUAAUAUCAAUAAGACAAUGCAGCAGCAAAAUAUUUUCAAAACAAUUAGCCUAGACAUUCUACUAGAAGUUAUAAACUCUUAAUGUAAAUUAGGGAAAGCACAGAGUAUAAUCAAGAGAUAGACCUAUCAAGACAUAUUAAAAUAGAUGAGACUAGGUUUACUCCCUUGUUUAAGAUGGUGAGGAGUGGUCUCUUCAUUUCGCCACUUGAGUCCUCACUUGCUAAGCUUAACAGCUUCUCCUUUCAUCACACAAGCUCACUAACAACCUUGUGGGAACACCUCCAUCUUCUUCAGACUUGAUGCUUACUUCCCCACUUAACCACCAUUGCACUGAGGAGAUACCUCAGCUUACUCUCCAAGUACUUCUUAUUAGAAGCUCAUUGAGUCGCUUUCUUCUUCCCUCUACUUCGGCUGCAUCUACACAUGAUCAGCUUGCAAUGGCCUUGAGGAACCAGGUCAUUGAGCUUAGAGGAUCUUCUGGUAGCUCACUUGAAUCCUCACCUCAAACUUGACUUAGUGUAGGUGCAAGCUUGAAGUGAGCCUCAAUGAGACUUCAAACCGGGAGCGCAUCACUACCUACAGCUGCGCUUAACCCAACCGAUCUGCCAUUGCCUUCAGCUCCAAUGCCUUCAGGUCAUCAGUCUCCCCAAGACUUAGGUGAUGACCUUUACUUGUGUGUCUCCAUGAACCAGGAGCACAUCACUAUCACUAGCUGCGCUAUCUUAACCGGCCAUACACACAAGUCUUUCUCCAUUGCUUUAACAAUGGCAAAGUCUUCCUCUUCUACUUGGAUGGAUGGUGAGCAAGGAACACUUCUUGUGAACCUGAAACACCACUCAAACUCCAGCAAAGAUAACACACAAAGGUAUUGGAAUCAAUCCUUGAAAUAUCAUCAAGGUUGAUCACCAAUAUCACAAGCAUUGCAACAGAUUACACAAGACAUAUUCAAGUUCUAAUCUUUGCAAGCAAUUUCUCUAAGUAUAUGCAAGAUCUAAACAGAUUCAAUACAAGUUACUUAGACAAUUUUAACUUCUGCCUUAACUACAUCUUAGACUUGAAUCCAAGUGCAUCAACCUAAGGCAGCAACAACACUCUAAGCUUUAUUAUACUACUCGGUUUCAAUCAAUGAAAGUAACCAGGAUCAGACACAUCUAGUAUCCUAUACAAUCAUUGUAGAACCGAGGCAAGCUUUACAACUCUCAAUCACCAUUCACAACUCUCAAGUAUCUUGGGACAGAUUCUAAACAUUUCAUAUCUAGCAAUCUUUAAACAUCCACAAGUUUUCAAUCACAUCACAACAUCACAACCUGUUCAUACACUCAAGCUUUAUACAAGAGAAAGAGAUUUCCUUACAGCCAAGGAACUAGUGUUAGUUCCUUGAAACUCCUUAGUACAUGGGAAGAUCCGAGCUGUUGGUGUCAACUCCUACAUCUCCUUCUUUCAUGGACCUUUCUCUUGAACCCACCAUGCCUAAGACACCUCCUCUCUUCAUUUUUUGAGUCGCCAUACCAGGUACAAGUUGAAAGCUUUCACCUUUCUUCUUGGACAGUGAAUGGGAAUGGCUUGGACAUGCUUCCAAUGGCCUUCUUUCUUCAGGACGACCAUGAGAGAGUAGAGAACGACCAAGAACAGCUUCUGGACGCCAUUGAUGAGCACACCUUCUUCUUGAAGAGGUUGAACAGCCAAAUGAACAUGAAGCUUCUUCUUGGUUUGGAAAUGGCAUGGGAGUGAGCUUUGAGCUUAGCGGAAGCUGGAACCAAGUUCUAAUGAACCUGGCUCUGAUACCAUAUGAGAUUUAAGAGUACUCAGGUUGUAUGGUUGAACCUAUGAGAUUUAAGAGUACUCAGGUUGUAUGUGUGUAUGAAACCCAAAUGGGUAAAGAGAGAGAGAGCUUGGAAGCGAUUUGAGAGAAAAGAAGUUUAAUGAGUGUUUGUGUGUCUAAGUGUUUAAGAGAUUAGUGACCAGACUAAGAACGUGUAUAGAGAUUCAGGAUGAGAGACUAGAGAGACUAAGAGAAAGUGUUUCAGAUUAGAGAAGGAGAAGGGAAACCCCCUUACUCACUUAAGAGUUACAAAACAUCACUUAUGAGCUUAUAUAUGCUCUUUACAACUUGCAAUCAUAAACCUAAAUCUAAGGGCUGUUAUAACUUGAAUUUAAAUGGAUGGAUGAGAUGGAAAGAUGGUCUUGGUCGUGGCUGGCUCUUCCUAAUGGAUAAUUGGUCCAUUUGAAUCUGGUCAAGGGAAGGCUGGCUCCUUAUUGGCUAGCUAAAGGCUCCCAUGAAUCUGACCACUUCUUUUGCUAGAUACAUGGUCUCCUUUUGCUUUUACUUUACAGCAAGGGACUCUCCUUUCCAGCCUGUCACUCGCCAGCCUCUCCUUUGUCUUCUUCUCUUAAGAGUUUUGUCUUCUUCUCUUAAGAGUUUUGUCCUUUUCUCUUAAGAGUUUUGUGUUCUCUUACUGUGGUAACUCUCCAAAGUUACUGUGGUAACUUUGGAGUUACUGUCUCAACCAAAUAUUCUCCAAAUGGUGUCUAAGUACCUCCUGGACUUAAACCCAAUCUUGCACAGCCAUAAGAUCACUUCUUGACUUCUUAAGACCCUCCUGAAGCUUGACAGGCAAUCUCUGUAAGACUUGCCCUCUCUUUGCACUAGAACCAAACUACUCCAUACUUCUCCUUUCACUCCAUUUCUAUUCUUCAAGUUAACAUUCUAGAGCUUGCCCUAUCAUUGUAAAGCUCCAUCUUCUCUUCCGUUCAACAUUCAGUUCAACACUCCCCCUCAAGCUUGACUCUAGGAGAUCCUGAGCCAAGCUUGGAACCCUGAAGAGUCUCCCUCAUUAAAAACCUUGCAAAGAAAACCCUGUGGGACAAAACUUUGCAAGGGAAAAAGAGUAGAGCUCUUAAGGGCCUAGGGAUUGGCCAGUGAGCUCUUGUGCCUUAGAACCAGUGUGGUUGGACACCAGAAGCUCUGGAUCACGGCCUAAUAGGUGCAGCAACUCAACACAGCUUCGCGCACACUUCACACUUCAGCUUCACCUCUUCAUGGAACCGGUUUGAAGUCUCCCCCUCUCAACUGACUUCACAGCCAUUUUAGAGAAGCUAGGACACGACCAGAUCAUCUUCAAAACACCAGUAAGGCUGAUCAACACUUCACACACGGCUUGCCCUCUUCAUUGAACUGGUUUGGGUCUCCCCUUCUCAACAGACUUCUCAGCCACCUUAGAGAAGCUAGGAACUGACCAGGAACAUCUUUAGUGAGGCUCAAGCAAUGGUACCUGAUACAUUAUCCCAAAGGUGCAUCAGUACCUAUCAAAACCAAGAAAAUGAAUAUCCUGCAUCACACUUGAUGCACACAAUCUCACAAUUCAAUCAUAAUCAUCUUAAGUAUCUUUUCAAGUACAAGCAAUGAAUAAGAUGAAUGAAAAGGAUUGAAAAGAGUUUUAAAAGUCUAAGGGAACUUCCCUUGUGUUUUUGUGAGUUUCCUAACUCUCUCAAUGCACCAUCUUCAUGUCAUCAUCAACUUCUUGGAAAGGCAGAAUGGAUUGAUCAGCUUCUCCUCAAUCACCUCUCAUUGAAGCCGCAUUGAUGGAGAGCCUUCUUCCUCACUUGCCAAGGCUGCUCUGAACAGCCUCUUGCCUAGACACGCCACUGACUUGGCCCGGUUGAUGAUCCUUGUAGAAGCUUUUGCAAAAGACUUGUUACUGACCAUGGAUCAUAUGCAUUAAGACUCCCCCUCAAGCUUAGAACCAAGACUAGAAGGAGCUAAGCUUGUGAUGAUUCUAUGCGUCUCCAUGGUCU
rnacentral:lncRNA from 1 species